AUGAGUCUCUGGAAUGGGGUUGGGCAGAGCCCCAAACCUUGUCUCUGGCCUCCUGUCCCCUUCUUCCUCCACUUCCCCUUCCCAUCCCCCUCCUCUCCCCAUCCCUCCCCCUCCUCCCAUCCCCCUCUUCUUCCUCCACUUCCCCUUCCCAUCCCCCUCCUCUUCCCAUCCCCCUCCUCCCCUCCUCCCACCCCCUCCUCCCAUCCCCCUCCUCCCAUCCCCCUCCUCCCAUCCCCCUCUCCUGCCUCCCAUCCCCCUCCUCUACCUCCCAUCCCCCUCCUCUCCCCAUCCCCCUCCCCUGCCUCUCAUCCCCCCCUCCACCUUCCAUCCCCCUCCUCCCAUCCCCCUCCUCCACCUCCCAUCCCCCUCCCCUGCCUCUCAUCCCCCUCCUCUUCCCAUCCCCCUCCUCCCAUCCCCCUCCUCUUCCCAUCCCCCUCCUCCACCUCCCAUCCCCCUCCCCUGCCUCUCAUCCCCCUCCUCUUCCUCCACUUCCUCUUCCCAUCCCCCUCCUCUUCCUCCACUUCCCCUUCCCAUCCCCCUCCUCUACCUCCCAUCCCCCUCCUCCCAUCCCCCUCUCCUGCCUCCCAUCCCCCUUCUCUACCUCCCAUCCCCCUCCUCUCCCCAUCCCCCUCUCCUGCCUCUCAUCCCCCUCCUCUUCCCAUCCCCCUCCUCCACUUUCCAUCCCCCUCCUCUUCCCAUCCCCCUCCCCUGCCUCUCAUCCCCCUCCUCUCCCCAUCCCCCUCUCCUGCCUCCCAUCCCCCCUCCACCUUCCAUCCCCCUCCUCUUCCUCCACUUCCUCUUCCCAUCCCCCUCCUCCACCUCCCAUCCCCCUCCUCUUCCUCCACUUCCUCUUCCCAUCCCCCUCCUCUUCCCAUCCUCCUCCUCCACCUCCCAACCCCCUCUACCCAUACCUGUCCUCCUUCACUGUCCAUCCUGCUUCCUCUUCCCAUCCCCCUCCUCCACUUUCUAUCCCCCUCCUCCACCACCUCUGUGCCCCCUCCUUCGGUUUCUGCGCCCCUUCCCUGCCCCUCAGUCCCCCUCUGCCCUCCCCUAGUCCUCUCUGCUUUCCCCAAGCAAGCACAGGGUUCCACCUCCUCCCUCUCCUCCCCUCCCCGCCCCCACAACCCCCUCCCUCAUCGCCUCUCGGAGGGCGGACGGGUUUAG
rnacentral:lncRNA from 1 species